rnacentral:rRNA from 1 species
UACGAAGGGUGCGAGCGUUGUUCGGAUUUACUGGGCGUAAAGGGCGCGCAGGCGGCUAUCCAAGUCAGGCGUGAAAGCCCCGGGCUUAACCUGGGAGGUGCGUCUGGGACUGGGUGGCUAGAGUUCGGGAGAGGAGAGUGGAAUUCCCAGUGUAGAGGUGAAAUUCGUAGAUAUUGGGAAGAACACCGGUGGCGAAGGCGGCAACCUGGUCCUUGACUGACGCUGAGGCGCGAAAGCGUGGGGAGCAAACAGG